rnacentral:rRNA from 1 species
GACCUACGGGGCGCAGCAGUGGGGAAUAUUGGGCAAUGGGCGCAAGCCUGACCCAGCAACGCCGCGUGAAGGAAGAAGGCUUUCGGGUUGUAAACUUCUUUUCUCAGGGACGAAGCAAGUGACGGUACCUGAGGAAUAAGCCACGGCUAACUACGUGCCAGCAGCCGCGGUAAUACGUAGGUGGCAAGCGUUGUCCGGAUUUACUGGGUGUAAAGGGCGUGUAGCCGGGUUGACAAGUCAGAUGUGAAAUCCUGCGGCUUAACCGCAGAACUGCAUUUGAAACUGUUGAUCUUGAGUACUGGAGG